UGUAGUGGAAGUUUCACCACAAGAGCUGGAUGACGGGGGCCGUGGGUUCUGCCCUGGCAGCGAACGGGCACCUCCUCCUGCGGUUCUGCUUGUUUUCCUGUUGCACAGGUUCUCCUCCACGAGAUUCCUCUCGGUGUUUGUCUGUAGAAGCUGUUCGCAUGUUCUGCUGCUGUAAAUGUGACGUUUCUGUCAAAUACCUCCUUUUCAAGCUGAGGUUUCUGACCAAAUAUUUUGAGAGAUGGUGCUUGUUUUUAGGCAUGAGAAAUGCAAUGUAGCCUACCACGCAAGGAAAAAGAAAAAAGACCAGGUUUCCAAGUUCUGAUCAAGAUCUCCAAGUUUGGUCUUAGUCUGCCAAUAUUUUUUGCCUGUGAGUGAUGGCACUGCAGAGUGGAAUGGAUCCCAAGCAAAAAGCUGUUAAUCUCUGGAAAAUGAAGGUGUUUCAGCUGAGGCAUCUGUAGUUACGCGCUUGAUCAUUGAUCCUCCUGUUGGGAAGAUGUCGGUGAUUAGGGAUGCAUGGAGGAUGUCAUCUUUUAGGGAGAGAGGUAAUUUAGCUGGCAAAAGCUGCUGCUCGAGAACAUUUGAGAAGCACCAUCCCAGAUCGACGUGCCUUGCGAGACUGGCUCAGCAGACAACUUUCAUUGCUGAGCUCAUCCCCUUCUGGAGGACCUUUUGGCUAUCAUUACGUGGCACACUGAAACAACUAGUGUAUGACUGCUCUCAAGUUGAUUCCAUUGCCAUCGAUGCCAGCACCAGAAAGCACGCAAGAAACACCCUCACUGCCCAGGUCCUCAGGUGUGCUUCUGAAGUUGGUCCAGAGAGGAGGCUCCAGACACGGGGAUGACAGGGCAUAGAUGACAGCCUGGUGGGGAUGGCAGCCCUGCACCAAGGACAGCUGGCAGCUAAGCUUGCCACCAAACACCGUGGCGUAGGGAUGGAUUUGUGCAACAAGACGGCUGUAACGGUGGAGCCCUCUGGACCUUGCGCUGCCAGAACGACCAAGAUUCAUAGAGUUGUGUGAUGACUGAGAGUUAAAUUGAAAAAAAAAAACCCCAAACAACCAACCCAACGAACCCAGACAUGCAACAAUCGGCAAGGAAGCGAUUUAAAAUGGGAGCCUCCCCAGGUGUCGGCCACGCGGCAGGAAUGUCACCGCUGCGUCAUGGUGCUGCGGUCUCGCCUUUUAGGACUAAAUGCAUCCCUUGGCUAAUCGUCAAGCCGUUCUUAAUCAAAUCAUUAUUUCAAUUCUGUGCUUUAAUUCAGUUCACUGCCUGUAGAGCAUAAUAAAUCCUAUUUCACCAAAAAAAACCCCAAACCAAACCCAAAACCACCCCACCCCUUACAAUCUUGGGAUAUGAAAAUUUUCCUUUUUUUUUUUAAUUGUGAUGGA